GGCAAGAUGGCCGAGCGGUCUAAGGCGCUAGGGUCAGGUACCUGAUCACACAUACGCUCAUUGAGCAGUAUUCCUAGUCACGCAAGUGGCGUGGGUUCGAAUCCCACUCUUGUCA
rnacentral:tRNA from 1 species